rnacentral:miRNA from 2 species
UAAUACUGUCUGGUGAUGAUGUU